rfam:Actinoplanes friuliensis DSM 7358, complete genome.
CACCGAGAAAGGCAAACCCGUCGAGAGGCGGGGACGCAAAGCCAGGGACCUCCCGAGCGGGAGGCGGCCCAGCCGCCGAA